AAGUGAAUUUGUGGAAUUUCUUUCCUUCUUAAUGUGUUUAAGCCAAUCAGUUGUUGUGCAAACGUAGAGGUGGUAUACAGAAGAUAGUCUUUUACCAAAUAGGGCUGAGUCCAAAUGAUGGCAAGAACAGCUCAAAAAAAGCAAAGAGAAACGACAGUCCAUCAUUACUUGGAGAAACUUUCAAAGUGCAGUCGCAAAAACCAUCAAGUGCUAUGAUGAAACUGGCUCUCAUGAGGAGCGCCACAUGAAAGGAAGACCCGGAGUUCCCUCUGCUACAGAGGACACGGUCAUUAGAGUUACCAGCCUCAGAUUGCAGUCCAAAUAAAUGUUUCACAGAGAUCAAGUAACAGACACAUCUCAACAUCAACUGUUCAGAGACUGCGUGAAUCAGGCCAUCGUGGUCAAAUUGCUGCAAAGAAACCACUACUAAAAGACACCAAUAAGAAGAGACUUGCUUGGGCCAAGAAACACGAGCAAUGGACAUUAGACCGGUGGAAAUCUGUCCUUUGGUCCAAAUUUGAGAUUUUUGGUUCCAACCGCUGUGUCUUAGUGAGACGCAGAGUAGGGGGAGUGUGAGGUAAUACAGUAGGGGGAGGAGCAGCGUGAGGUAAUACAGUAGGGGAGGAGCAGCGCGAGGUAAUACAGUAGGGGAGGAGCAGCGCGAGGUAAUACAGUAGGGGGAGCGCGAGGUAAUACAGUAGGGGGAGCGCGAGGUAAUACAGUAGGGGGAGCGCGAGGUAAUACAGUAGGGGGAGCGCGAGGUAAUACAGUAGGGGGAGCGCGAGGUAAUACAGUAGGGGGAGCGCGAGGUAAUACAGUAGGGGGAGCGCGAGGUAAUACAGUAGGGGGAGCGCGAGGUAAUACAGUAGGGGGAGCGCGAGGUAAUACAGUAGGGGGAGCGCGAGGUAAUACAGUAGGGGGAGCGCGAGGUAAUACAGUAGGGGGAGCGCGAGGUAAUACAGUAGGGGGAGCGCGAGGUAAUACAGUAGGGGGAGCGCGAGGUAAUACAGUAGGGGGAGCGCGAGGUAAUACAGUAGGGGGAGCGCGAGGUAAUACAGUAGGGGGAGCGCGAGGUAAUACAGUAGGGGGAGCGCGAGGUAAUACAGUAGGGGGAGCGCGAGGUAAUACAGUAGGGGGAGCGUGAGGUAAUACAGUAGGG